rnacentral:tRNA from 1 species
AAGGCCACAAAAUAGAGCUGCUAACUCUGUAACAAUGAUUUCAUUUGGUCUUU